rnacentral:rRNA from 1 species
GUUAAAAAGCUCGUAGUCGAAUCUGUGUCGUGCGCCGCCGGUUCAUCGCUCGCGGUGUCAACUGGCGUGUCGCAGGACGUCCUGCCGGUGGACUCAGCCGUCAGGUCCGUCUCCUCCGGGAGUCGGUCUGGCGGCGGUCCAACUUUAAAAUCCCAUCGCGGUGCUCUUCGCUGAGUGUCGCGUUGGGCCGGCACGUUUACUUUGAACAAAUUAGAGUGCUUAAAGCAGGCUAAAAUUUCGCCUGAAUACUGUGUGCAUGGAAUAAUGGAAUAGGACCUCGGUUCUAUUUUGUUAGUUUUCGGAACC